GGGCCUAUAGCUCAGUUGGUUAGAGCAUCUGACUCAUAAUCAGGAGGUCCCUGGUUCGAGCCCAGGUGGGCCCACCU
rnacentral:tRNA from 1 species